rnacentral:rRNA from 1 species
GAUGAACGCUAGCGGCAGGCUUAACACAUGCAAGUCGAGGGGUAUAGUUCUUCGGAAUUAGAGACCGGCGCACGGGUGCGUAACGCGUAUGCAAUCUACCUUUCACAGAGGGAUAGCCCCAGAGAAAUUUGGAUUAAUACCUCAUAGUAUAGCAGUUUCGCAUGAAACCACUAUUAAAGUCACAACGGUGAAAGAUGAGCAUGCGUCCCAUUAGCUAGUUGGUAAGGUAACGGCUUACCAAGGCAACGAUGGGUAGGGGUCCUGAGAGGGAGAUCCCCCACACUGGUACUGAGACACGGACCAGACUCCUACGGGAGGCAGCAGUGAGGAAUAUUGGACAAUGGGCGCAAGCCUGAUCCAGCCAUGCCGCGUGCAGGAUGACGGUCCUAUGGAUUGUAAACUGCUUUUAUACUAGGAAGAAACACUCGGACGUGUCCGAACUGACGGUACUGUAUGAAUAAG